rnacentral:rRNA from 1 species
UACGAAGGGGGCUAGCGUUGCUCGGAAUUACUGGGCGUAGAGCGCACGUAGGCGGCUUGUUAAGUCAGGGGUGAAAUCCUGGAGCUCAACUCCAGAACUGCCUUUGAUACUGGCGAGCUUGAGUUCGGGAGAGGUGAGUGGAACUGCGAGUGUAGAGGUGAAAUUCGUAGAUAUUCGCAAGAACACCAGUGGCGAAGGCGGCUCACUGGCCCGAUACUGACGCUGAGGUGCGAAAGCGUGGGGAGCAAACAGG